GGGGGUUUAGUAUAAUGGCAUUACUGCGGUCUCCAAAACCGUUUAUAAGGGUUCGAAUCCUUUAACCCCUG
rnacentral:tRNA from 2 species